CGACACACACCUGCUGCCUUUGGAUCAGGGUUGAGCUCGGCCCACGUGCACACCUGCCCUCCCCUUAAACUGUUAAGCACAGAUUCCAAGAGAGCCUGGGAUUCUAAAACACCAUUUGAGGUCGGCGUGCGGGUACCAGUUCACACGGGCGGGAGCCGAACUCACCUCUGCCAUCACCCAGGUUUCCUGGGCUGCGGCACGUGGGGUCAGAGCCUCCAGGCACCUUCAGGUAGGAGACCAACACAGAGACAAAGCUGCUUCUGUAAUCGUGGCCCCUGUGUAGAAGUCUCCAGCAUCUCAUGACUGUGAGGAGCAGAGCCAGGAUUCAAACCCAGGUGCGCCCAGUUCCAGAGACGGCACAGAGCUGGGCCAGGAGAGUGGACUUGGUGCUCGGGCUGCCGUGGGAGCUCGUCGCCCACAGCAGAGGGGACAAGCCAGCAGCCUCGGGCUCCAGUGGUCCAAAGACAAGUCUUCCUUGGUAUUCAUUACAAAUCUGGAAAAUGAAAAUGACCUGGAAAUACUGAGUCAGCAGCCAUGAAAUUAAAAGACACU
rnacentral:lncRNA from 1 species